rnacentral:RNase_P_RNA from 1 species
ACCGCAGGCCGCCUUAUCGCCGUCUUGAAAAAGAGGGAGGAAAGUCCGGGCACCAUAGAGCAGCAUAGCGGGUAACACCCGUCACCAAAAGCAGUUUUGGGAGGACAAGUGCAACAGAAAGUAUGUACAGGUAAUGCUGUAGUGAAACCAGGUAAACUCUAUGCGGUGAAAUACCAAGUAUAUCGGCAUUUAAGGAUUGCUCGUCCGUUGCCGAAGGGUAGGUAGAUUGAGUUUGGCAGUAAUGCCAAAUCUAGAUAAAUGAUAAGGAUUCGCUUUCGCGGAUACAGAACCCGGCUUAUAGGCCUGCAUUUUUU